AAAGAAACUAACAAGGAUUGCCCUAGUAACGGCGAGCGAACCGGCAAGAGCCCAACUUGAAAAUCUCCCUUUGGAGAAUUGUAGUCUAUAGAAGUACCCUCUGCAACGAGCGGGACCCAAGUCUCCUGGAAAGGAGCGUCAGAGAGGGUGAGAACCCCGUCGGAUCUUGCUUUGUUGCCUCACGAGGUGCUUUCGAAGAGUCGGGUUGCUUGGGAAUGCAGCCCUAAUUUGGUGGUAAAUCCCAUCUAAGGCUAAAUACUGGCGAGAGACCGAUAGCGAACAAGUACCGUGAGGGAAAGAUGAAAAGAACUUUGAAAAGAGAGUUAAAAAGUGCUUGAAAUUGUUGAGGGGGAAGCGUUUGAAUGCUCGGGUGCGCCUAGGCUUAUGUAGUCUUAACGGGCUGCUGUAUGUGCUAGGUGCUGGCCAGCAUGGGUUAGGUUAGUAGGAUAACAGCUGGGGUUGUUACCCGGUCUAUACUACUGACCUGACCAAGGCAUGAAGACUGCCCUUGUCCUUCGGGAACUGCAGUCUCAAGAUGCUGGCGAAAAGCUUUCAACCGACCCGUCUUGAAACACGGACCAAGGAGUCUAACAUGUAUGCGAGCUGGUGGGUGGAAAACCCAUGAAGCGCAAGUAACCUGACUGGUGGGAUGGCCUGUGCCUGCACCAUCGACCGACCAUGAGCUUCUGCGAAAGGUUUGAGUACGAGCAUACCUGUUGGGACCCGAAAGAUGGUGAACUAUGCCUGAGCAGGGCGAAGCCAGAGGAAACUCUGGUGGAGGCUCGUAGAUGUGCUGACGUGCAAAUCGCUUUUCGGACUUGGGUAUAGGGGCGAAAGACUAAUCGAACCAUNNNNNNNNNNNNNNNNNNNNNNNNUUCCCCCAGGAUAGCUGGAGCUUGUAUCAGUUCAGUCAGGUAAAGCGAAUGAUUAGAGGUUCGGGGGAUGAAACAUCCUUCACCUAUUCUCAAACUUUAAAUAGGCUGGACGUCUCGGUUGCUUGAUUGAACCGCGGCAUUCAAUGAGAGUUCCAAGUGGGCCAUUUUUGGUAAGCAGAACUGGCGAUGCGGGAUGAACCGAUAGUCGAGUUAAGGUGCCAAACUACGCGCUAACCUAGAUCCCACAAAGGGUGUUGAUUGAUACAGACAGCAGGACGGUGGUCAUGGAAGUCGAAAUCCGCUAAGGAGUGUGUAACAACUCACCUGCCGAAUCAAUUAGCCCCGAAAAUGGAUGGCGCUGAAGCGCGUGACCUAUACUCGGCCAUGGAAGUAAGUGCGAGACUUCCAUGAGUAGGAGGACGUGGAUAUCGUUGCGAAGCCUGGGGCGUGAGCCUGGGUGAAACGGUAUCUAGUGCAGAUCUUGGUGGUAGUAGCAAAUAUUCAAAUGAGAACUUUGAAGACUGAAGUGGAGAAAGGUUCCAUGUGAACAGCAAUUGGACAUGGGUUAGUCGAUCCUAAGAGAUGGGGUAAUCCUGUAUCAAGAGUGCAAUUUGCACUGCCCAUCGAAAGGGAAAAGGGUUAAGAUUCCCUUACCUGGACAAGGCGGCUGACGGCAACGUUAACGAGCCUGCAGACAUCGGCAUUGGCCCUGGGAAGAGUUCUCUUUUCUUUUUAACAGCUCGAAGGCCCUGGAAUCGAAUCAUUCGGAGAUAGGGCUCAGAAGCUGGUAAAGCACCGCACGUCUCGCGGUGUCCGGAGCGCCAAUGACGGUCCUUGAAAAUGCAGGGGAGCAGCUACCGAUCUUGCCAGGUCGUACUCAUAACCGCAUCAGGUCUCCAAGGUGAACAGCCUCUAGUCGAUAGAACAAUGUAGAUAAGGGAAGUCGGCAAAAUGGAUCCGUAACUUCGGGAAAAGGAUUGGCUCUGAGGGUUGGGCCUAGGGGUCUGCAUUCAGAAGCUCCUGGCUGUCGAUGGUCUGCUCUGCGGCUUCGGUUGCGGUAGUGGACCGUCGCGUGCCGGGCGUGGACGGGUGUAGAAAGCUUCGGCGUUCCCUAGGCGAC
rnacentral:rRNA from 1 species